CACGUACUCCCUCCGUCCCAAAAUUCUUGUCUUAAAUUUGUCUAAAUACGGAUGUAUCAAAUCAAAUUCUUGUCUUAUAUUUAUCUAGAUACGAAUGUAUCUAAUACUAAAAUAUGACUUGAUACAUCCGUAUUUAGACAACUUUAAGACAAAAAUUUUGGGACGGAGGGAGUACAUU
rfam:Triticum aestivum genome assembly, contig: Triticum_aestivum_CS42_TGACv1_scaffold_019520_1AS